rnacentral:rRNA from 1 species
CUACUUGACUCCUACGGGAGGCAGCAGUGGGGAAUAUUGCACAAUGGGGGAAACCCUGAUGCAGCCAUGCCGCGUGUGUGAAGAAGGCCUUCGGGUUGUAAAGCACUUUCAGUAGGGAGGAAGGUAGUGUAGUUAACACCUGCAUUAUUUGACGUUACCUACAGAAGAAGCACCGGCUAACUCCGUGCCAGCAGCCGCGGUAAUACGGAGGGUGCGAGCGUUAAUCGGAAUUACUGGGCGUAAAGCGCAUGCAGGCGGCCUGUUAAGUCAGAUGUGAAAGCCCCGGGGCUUAACCUCGGAAUUGCAUUUGAAACUGGCAGGCUAGAGUCUUGUAGAGGGGGUAGAAUUUCAGGUGUAGCGGUGAAAUGCGUAGAGAUCUGAAGGAAUACCAGUGGCGAAGGCGGCCCCCUGGACAAAGACUGACGCUCAGAUCGCGAAAGCGUGGGGAGCAAACAGGAUUAGAUACCCUGGGAG